AAAACAUAACUAAAGCUUAUAUUUUCAACUAGCUUGCAAGUGCGAUAUUCACUGAAAAGAUUGGAUUUUGUUAAUAGUUGAGCGCUUGUGCAACAGUUUUUCAUUUUGUUGCUGUAAUUGUGGAAAAGGUAAAAAUUGAAGAAUAUUAUGCACAUGUUGUGUGUUUAAAGACAUUGUAAAGUGUUAACUGUGUUCAAGAAGAAGAAAGAAAACGCUUUUGGAUGCGAUGAGCAAAAAGGCACCGACCACAGCCACCAGUCCAUACCCCAAAUGCUGCUGUCAGUCCAGUUCUGAGCGCUUCCGCUCCAGCCCGCACCCCUAAGCCGGGCGCAACCGCAGCGCAAAUUGCAGCGUCAUCGGCACCACCCAAAAACAAGUGAACGAGAUCCACUGGACAAGUCAGCUGCAGGUUGAUUCGACGUGGAUGGGAAGCUGGUGAGGAUUUUAAGUGGUCCUUGAUAAGCGGCCGGGCAACGUAAUGCGAAUGCCAUAAUGCGCUUUACCAAAGUACACAGCAAUGCUGGCCGCAUCGAAUGUUGUUGUUCAUUUUAAAGCACACUCUCGGCCAGGCCCGCGGAUGGAAUAUCAAUAUUGGGGCAAUCACAAAAAAUAACAACAAAGACAACAAAAACAACAAAAUAAUAAAAAGCAACAAAGAAAACAACCAAUUUAAUUUGAUAGUCGUAAGCACCGAGAUUCGAAUUUCCUUUGCCGCGUUGUGCUGCGAAUGGCGUUAAAAAUGCCACUGAUUUAAUUUACUUAUGUUAAAGUGGCAAGCACCUGCAGCUUGCAUUGAGAAAUUAAAGGACUUGCUAAUAAAUACUUUCAAGUAAUUAAAGAAUUCCGCAAAUGCACAAGAAACCAAAUGAGCGACCAUCAAAAGUGAGCCAUAAAAAGCUUUAAAUAACAAAUGAAUUAAUCAGUAUUGAUUUAAAUGCAUAAAUCAGUUGUAUAAUUAAAAAAAAAAGUUGCUCAAUUAAUUUAAAAUGCCAAACAAACCAAUAAGUCGUACUAAAGUAUUUAUAUAAAAAUAUAUAUAGA